AACCAGUGUGUUACUAUAUGAGUGUUAUUUAAUUAAAAAGACUUGGACUGCAGCUUUUACAAGCAGAAAAUGGAAACAAGUAACAACCCGAGAUGAAUCUCCUUGACACAUUCUACCAAAGCUAAUGCUCAUCAAUAAAAAGAAUCCCUGUGGAAAGUCUAACCAAAAUUCCACACUAUCAUGCUAACUUUGCCCCUAUAUCUUGCUAUAACAUGUCAACUCAGCUCCUCCUCACCCUCCUAGAACCCCCUUCCUUUUAGUAUAGAAUCCAAUAGCAAUAGGAGCAAAGGUCCUAUCAGUUACACAAAUCACUCAAUUCCCCUUGCUUGUUCUCAUGCACUCUGUUACAUUAAGCAUUUGAUUCUCCUUGAUUGCCUCUCUGCAUUCUUUCCUAAUCCUAAUAUAAACCAUAGUGAUAGGUGGUCACCUGACAAUACUUUCCCCAGAAGCCUUCAACUUGUCUUCAAGGUAAAAUGUAGGAAACUAUUCUUGCAGUCUUGUGUAGAUGUUCCCAAGAAUUUUCAAAGUCAGGAAGGUCCUGUCAUUUAAUUAGGACCUUGGUGAGAUCCUCUGUAUUGAUUCUGUAAUCCAGCACCUUUGCUGCGUCAGGCUGUAUCUCAAGCUCCCAUUCAUCACUCAUCAGAUAGAAAGUUGUGAAUGGCCAUGUUAAACGACCACAGGAUGAAGACAUACAAUCCAAUGUACUGGAAAUAAUUGGAUCAAAUAUUCAGUCCA